UCACCAAAGGACUAUCAGCCUUCUCUGUGGUGAUUUGAGGUUGCUGCGAUGAGUGAAUUUGUGCAUGGGCCCUUUAAGACCCGGGUCUUUUCGGCUUUCGGCUGAUAGCUUCUCUGGGGGUAUCCUCGCUGCAGUUAAUAGCCAGCAAAGCCGGACGGUGAGGAUGUUGAAACACAGAUUGGGUCACCAGUCCAAAACCACAUGAUCAGCAGUACUAUGGAUUCCAAACACUCCGCCACCACGCUAAAUGUAGAGCUGCAGAGAAUCACAGGAUAAGAUCACCUCUAUGUGACACAGUGACUCACUGAGCUGGACGAGAAGUGAAGUCCAGGGAAGGAUUUGAAAAGAUAAAGGCUGUAGUCCAGAACUACGAGAAUGUGUGUAGCGCAGCCCUUGCAAACGGAAGGCAACAAGCAGAGAAAGAAGCUCUUUGAGUAGAAGGAGAUGCCUAGCGUCAUAAACGUUGCUAUUGACAUGAAGCUUCUUCAAGGUUCAUUAGGCAUGAAUAUUAAAUGAAGGCAAAGAAAAAUUCCAUUAACUGGAAGAGGGAAAGCAGCAAUCUCUCCCUGGUGUCAGGAGUCUAUCCUAUGAGUCUGUCAUGCCCCUGACUUGCACCGUGAAGCAGCUGUGAAAAUGUGCACGGCUGAAGUGAGAAGAAGAGGCAGUGUCAUCCGCCAAGCCUGGCUUUGAUAUGUCUGCCAUCUGAGGUUGCCACAGUCUCUGUCAGCUCUGGCGUGGCAGCUAAAAGACGCCUUUUCUCCUUACCUCGGCUCUUUUAAACACAUUUGCUAGGGGGGAAAACACUCCUCCAUUUCUACCAUUGGACUGAAGGUUUCUUAUUUGCCUUAACUCAUUAUUCACAUUUCCAUAAUGCUGGAUAAUUGCAAACCACAUAAAAAGCCAUUUUGAU
rnacentral:lncRNA from 1 species